GUGCAUUUCCAGGGGGGAAAGAAGGGGCUUAGUGAAGGAGAAUUUCCACCAUGGUUUCUCUUCCCUUGCCUGAGAACCCUCUGCCGCAUGAUGUGGAAUCCUUUUGUAAGGACCAGGAAGCGGAAGUGAGGUACUUACUCCAGGAGCAGCUCUAGUCCAGCCACCACAUGUCUGGGCUUUGGUCAAGUCCUUACUACUCAAAGUAUAGGCUGUGGCAUGGACCUGGGGCUUGCUAGAAAUGUGACAUUUCAGCUCCACUGACACCUGCUGGGUCAAAGCCUGCAUUUUAAUUGAAGUUUCAGAGCUCUGUAGGAAGUGACACAGUACUGGAUGCUGGGAAUAUAAACUGUUUGGCUCUGUCUUCCUGGAGCUGCAAUCUGAAGUGGGGAAAUCCUGAUGAAUUCACUGAGAACUCGUUCCACAGCGAGAGCAGUAUAGAGCUGUGCACUGAGUUACACAACUAUCAGACAGAUUUGCAUUCUUUCAUGAGAGAGCAAUGCUGACCAAUGGUGGAACUGUGUGAUGUUGCAGCCUUGGGAGGAGGCACAAGGAUAAUUUUGAUGCUGAUGGUCUCUGUAGAUUCAACCUGCUCUUGGAUCUUUAACAUACUGUGGCACUAGAAAUCAAGAAGUUACCAUUAACUGCAUGGUCACCUGACUUGUAGGAGGUCAAGGAAAUAAAGAUGUGAACAGACAAAAAACCCCAAGAGGGGCUCAGAGAGGGAGUGCUGAGAGCAUCUGUUCUGAGAAACUGCUGUUCAAAAUGGAAGGAAAUACACAAAGCCAAGAGGAACCUCCGUUGUGAGAAGAGCUGAGAGGUUAAUGCUAUUCUGACAGUAGAUGCUUCAUCGUUACUCCUAGUUGUGCAUAACUGGCCCUUAGAGCUUGUACCUAUCCCAGGACACAUUGUUAUUUGCUGGUGCUGAUACCAAUAAAAACAUCUUCCAUUUGGAAUAUGAUCAUUACAUCACAAGUCACAUCAUGGGCGAGAUGAAGAACAAUGCCUGUAGGACUCUUAGAAAAGCCAUCUCCAUGAGCCACUGCCUCCUUCUCAGCACCAGUAUUCUGGAAAGAGCACACCUCAUAAAGUCCUCCUGAAGGGCAGAGAUGCUGGGGAAUUUAUCCACCAACUCUUUCCCCUGUGGGCUCAGAGGAGCUCCUGAACAUGGACAUCAGCUUCCUGUCACUGGAACAGAGCCUUCUAAAAGAAAUGGUUCAUUUUGGCUCAUGAUUUGGGAGGUUAUGCUCAUCACACAUUUGGGCCUGAGAGGAGGUAGAACAUUGCACUGAGAGUGCAUGGUAAAGCAAAGCUGCUCACCUCAGGGCCAGGAAGUGAAAAAGAGGGGGUGGGGUUACACAGUCCUCUCUGGGACUCUAAGCAACGUAAGGACCUGGGACUUGGCCCGACCUGGAGUUCCCACUGUCUCCCAGUGUGCCAGCCAGGGACCAAGCCUUUAACACAUGGGGCACUUUGGAGGACACUCAAUAUCUGAACUACAGUGAUGAGACAAGCCUGCCCUGUCCAGAGAACACCCUCAGGCAGGGCAAGGACAGAGGCUUUUGGCUGUGGGCAACCUGCCUGUUGGGACCACAGGAUGAAGGGAUGUUGUAAGGCAUAGGCAGCUCUGCUGCAGGGACUGUGCCUUCCCCUUUUGGCAUCCUCAGUACUGAGACCACAUCUGGAAGUUCAUGAACACUCAGCAAAUGUUCAAUGAACACAGGAAUGGGUGAG
rnacentral:lncRNA from 1 species